UACGUAGGGGACAAGCGUUGUCCGGAAUCAUUGGGCGUAAAGAGCGUGUAGGCGGCCCGGUAAGUCCGCUGUGAAAGUCCAGGGCUCAACCCUGGAAUGCCGGUGGAAACUGUCGGGCUAGAGUCCGGAAGAGGCGAGUGGAAUUCCUGGUGUAGCGGUGAAAUGCGCAGAUAUCAGGAGGAACACCAAUGGCGAAGGCAGCUCGCUGGGACGGUACUGACGCUGAGACGCGAAAGCGUGGGGAGCAAACAGG
rnacentral:rRNA from 1 species